rnacentral:misc_RNA from 1 species
UACGUAGGGGGCAAGCGUUGUCCGGAAUUAUUGGGCGUAAAGCGCGCGCAGGCGGCCGUUUAAGUCUCGUGUUUAAAUCCGGAGCUCAACUUCGGAACGCACGGGAAACUGGGCGGCUUGAGUGCAGGAGAGGGGAGCGGAAUUCCACGUGUAGCGGUGAAAUGCGUAGAGAUGUGGAGGAACACCAGUGGCGAAGGCGGCUCUCUGGCCUGUGACUGACGCUGAGGCGCGAAAGCGUGGGGAGCGAACAGG